UUUGGCGGAGACAUACCUGACAAUAAAUCUAUCGCACAGUCAUAAGGAUGAUGCGGAGGAAGAGAAGCAGCCUGGGACUUACUGAACACUCCCUUCAGGUCAAGAUACUCAAUGGGCACGUUAGACAGAUCUAUAUGUCCAUCCUGUAACACAGAACAAGACACAGAAGAACAAGCAGACAACAAACAUGAAACAUGACAAAACUCACUCCAGGAAGAAACGGUGUUUUGGCGCCAGUUUAUGUUGGGAUUGUGGCAUGAGAGCUGGGGGGACCCAAGACCACAGGAACCAAAGGGGAAUCAGUAAAAAAAAAAAAAGAAAUGGUCUCGGUGUGGUUGCCUGAAAUGAUGAGAAUCACCGACUCAAUGGCAUGGGUGUCGGGUGGGAGAGACUGACCACAGAGAGUGCUGAUAGAGAUGGGCGGGUUGAGUGGAACAACAGGAAUUCCUAGCUUAAGCUCUGUCUUGUAAUCCAAGAAAUUACCCUCUGCGCCAGAGUCUACCAGGGCUUUACACGUGAAUGUGACCCAACCCAUCAGUAGUUGAACAGGGAGAAGAGUUACAGUAGAAGAGGAUUUCUCAACAGUGACUCCACCUGUCAGUAGCCUCCUACCUACUGACAGGCUUUUUUACUGGGCACUGUGCUGCAAUGUGACCUGCAGUACCACAGUAUAGACACAGCCCCUGGCGUCUCUCCUUCUCCUCCCGUGAAAGGUGAGCUCUGCCCACCUGCAUGGGCUCAGGAUCGAGGAGAUGACCAGCUGUAUUCUUCGCCAAACCUUCUCAAUCCGUCUAGUAAGGCAGUGUUUGAACACACAACACAAUGCCGUCCAGUGCCAUGCACAAGAGGGGUCUGAGGACUCUGAAGAGUCCUUUCUUGAAGAGACCUCUUCUGAAGAUACCUCUUCGUUCAGCCUAAGCAACCCCAAUACAGAUUCGCUGCAUAAGGGGAAUACUUACUGCAACGACCCCCCGUACACCAGGCCCCCUUUUCUCCUCUGCCCUUCCAAGGGUUUAAGUUCCCUCAAAUAGAUGUUGUAAUGGCACUCUGCUGUAAGAUAUCAGAGAAUAGUCAGAUUGAAGUGGCUGUAAAAAAAUCUAAAAGAGGAGCUGCUGCUGCUGGGGGAGGGGCUUUUUAGGGGUCUACUUGGAGGUCCACCCUGUAUAUUUAUUGGUAUGUACACUUAUGUUUUAUUUAUUUUCACUUACAAACUUUGAACCACUUCACAUCUUAACCACAGAGUGGUGCUAUAAUGUCAUCAAAAUAAAUAAA
ensembl:lncRNA